UGUCCUCUCCACAGUUACUGAACACACAGGUCCUCACCAUGGGAUGGAGCUGGAUCAUACUCUUCCUUGUGUCAGUAACUACAGGUGUCCAAACACAGGUCCAGCUGCAGCAGUCUGGGCCUGAGCUUGGGAAACCUGGUUCCUCAGUGAAGUUGUCCUGCAAGGCUUCAGGCUACACCUUCACUGGCUACGGUAUGCGUUGGGUAAAGCAGAGGCCUGGACAGGGCCUGGAGUGGAUUGGAUGGAUUAAUACUUCAAGUGGUAAUACUGGAUACGCACAGAAGUUCCAGGGCAAGGCCAUGCUGACUAGAGACGUAUCCUCCAGCACGGCCUACAUGGAGCUCAGCAGCCUGACAUCUGAGGACUCUGCCAUCUAUUUCUGUGCAAGAGACCCAGUGGUGCAACCACAUCCUGUGUGUGUCCAGUGUGAGGUACAGCUGGUGGAGUCUGGAGGAGGCUUAGAGCAGGCUGGAAAGUCCCUGAAACUCUCCUGUGAAGCUCCUGGAUUCACCUUCAGUGAUGCUGCUAUGACCUGGGUCCGCCAGGCUCCAGAAAAAGGGCUGGAGUGGGUUGCAAGCAUAAUAACAAAACCCAAUAAUUAUGCAACCUAUUAUGCAGAUUCGGUGAAAGACAGAUUCACCAUCUCCACAGAUGAUUCCCAAAGCAUGUUCUACCUGCAAAUGAAAACCUGA